CUUUACUAUAAACUUCUCUUCUCCCACGAACUCCUCACUUCUCCAAUUUAAUUAAUUAAUAAUCAAAUUAUUAAACCUCUGUGCUCUAAUUUCAAUCUUAAGCUAACAAAUUAUAGUCCAUAGUUCAAUCAGGUAAGUACCCCUUUUCUUCUCUUUCAAUUUUGGAUUUUAUUUGGGGUAGUAAUUUAAUCUAAAUUUCCUCUUUUGGUUCCAACAUUUUUGUUUAGAGCUAUUUGUCUUUAGAUCUGUGCUUUGCUGUUGGAGAAUCAAGAAUGUCUCAUAUCCUUCUGAUAUGUUUCUUUCUUUUCUCUGAUUAUUUAAAAAUUAGAGCUUUUUCUAGUGUAAUCUCAUUCUCUUUCCGUCCCAAUCCAAGUGUUUUAGUUUGAUAGGAUGUAGAGUUUAAAGGAGUUUAUGAAUCUUGUUGUCGCAAAUUAAAUAUGUAGAUAGUCCUUUGAUAUCUUGAACAUACCAUGUAGAAUUGGAAAACUUGUUAAAUAUUAAAAAAAGUACUCCCUCUGUUCAUUUUAUGUGGUAUUGUUUGAAUUUCAAAAUUCAACCAACUUGAAUUUUUUACCUUAAGUUUUUCAUAGAUCUUUUAAACAUUUUGAAUUAUCAAUUAUUGUGAUUUAUAAUAAACUUUUUACGUAGUUUACAAAUAUAUAAAUUUAUUUAAAAAAAUUAAAGAUUUUAUGUCCAAAUUUUCGAUCAAAUUUAAACAGUUUGAUUUUUGAAAAAUGAAGUAAUAAAAUUGAAAAAGUAGUCGCAUGAAGAAGUAGUCAUAGGGUUCAACAUAUAUUUUUACAUAUAUAACAUAUAAUUUUAAGUUUUUAACUAAUAUAUGUUUUUGCGGGAGGACCUAGACCCUUACUAGCUCCGCCCCUGUUUCUUGGCUGCAUAAAAAGAAGAUUCUUUCUUAUUACUACUCCUUUUGGGCCCUAAAAAAAGGGCAGAACUAAAUUUUUGAGCUCUGUCUAAACUCUAAAGUAAUCUCUCAUGCUGAUAAAAUUUGAAAUUAGAGGCAAAUGCAGCAGCCUAUAUUAAACCGUUUAACUGAAUCAGUGUUUUCGACAUUGAACAUGUAUGUACCUGUAAUCCAAUACAAAGCAUCAAUCAUUCAAUUGUGCGUUUGCCUCAGCCUGAGACCUUAUCUUCAGCUUUGAUUUCCAAAAGUAAGAUUUUAUUUUUGGUAAGAUCGAUGUUGUCAUACUUCAAUUUGAUCACUGCCUGUUUUGGUCUUAACUUAAGCUAACGCGGGAACCAGAGAGACCGAGAUCGUGAAAGGGCACAAGCCAGGGGAAACCACAAGUCCAAGACACCUAAACAUGAUGGAUUAACCCCUGAACAACGACGAGAAAGGUUGAACCUUACUUGUUAUAUGCCAAAAUUGCUUAAUUCAUGUUCCUGACAUGGAUGUUGUGUUCAAUAUUUCAUCAGGGAUGCAAAGGCACUUCAAGAGAAGGCGAAAAAGAAAGCAGCACAGGCGGGAGAUGGAUGGAACAUAGACAAAUCUGAAAUAGUUGGGAAAUGAGUAAAAAGGGGGCAUGAGUUAUAGAUUCUUGUUCAUCGUGUCAUUUCAA
rnacentral:lncRNA from 1 species